rnacentral:rRNA from 1 species
GAUCAUGGCUCAGGAUGAACGCUGGCGGCGUGCUUAACACAUGCAAGUCGAACGAAGAUGCCGGAGUGCUUGCACUUUGGCAGACUGAGUGGCGGACGGGUGAGUAACGCGUGGGUAACCUGCCUUAUACAGGGGGGAUAACAGUUGGAAACGACUGCUAAUACCGCAUAAGCGCACGGUAUCGCAUGAUACAGUGUGAAAAACUCCGGUGGUAUAAGAUGGACCCGCGUCUGAUUAGCUUGUUGGUGAGGUAACGGCCCACCAAGGCGACGAUCAGUAGCCGGCCUGAGAGGGUGAACGGCCACAUUGGGACUGAGACACGGCCCAAACUCCUACGGGAGGCAGCAGUGGGGAAUAUUGCACAAUGGGGGAAACCCUGAUGCAGCGACGCCGCGUGAGUGAUGAAGUAUUUCGGUAUGUAAAACUCUAUCAGCAGGGAAGAUAAUGACGGUACCUGACUAAGAAGCACCGGCUAAAUACGUG